GUAAGGGUAUUCCUAUCCAACCCAUUUGAGAUGUGGUUAAGUAACAACAGUACCUGCGGUAAUUUAGACCCUUCCAAUUUAGUAUUCAAUUAUAUAAAAAAAUUAUGAACACUUGUCUAUACACACAACUAAUACAAAGCUUAGAUUAUUAUGAUGAUCAUGAUGCAAUAUUUUUUCAUCUUAACCCUCUGACGUUUUAGGGUAAACGGGCUAAUUAAAAGUUUAGCUGGAAGGUAAUUAGUAAAGUCAGACUAUAAAUUGUUUCGACUAGAGAUGUGUUAAUUAUCUCUAUAUUAUUCUUUGUAGUUUGUUGGGCCACUAUUAGUUUGUUGUGCCUUGAUUGAACUCCCUUUGAAGGAGUUCAAGCUUCUUGGCUUGACGGAGGAAGAAACAAUUGAUGAAUACUUUGCAAGAAUUCCCUCCAUUAUCAAUAAGUCAAAAAUGCAUGGUAACAAUGUAGAACAAGUAAUAGUUGUUGAUAAGAUCCUUAGACUGUGGAGGAACAUGAGCUUCAAAGUAGUCUAUUAUUACAUUGAAAAAUCCAAGAAUGUGAGUACUUUUACUAUUGAAGAGCUUCAAAGUAGUCUAUUAGGUAGUACAUGAGCAAAGGACUCAAGGGAAUAAAGAAGAGGAACAUGUUGUGAAGGUCACAAAUGAAGGGAAAACAGGAGGAAGAGAAAAGGGUUGUGGAGGAAGAGGAUGGAGGAAAGGAAGACAAUCUUUCAACAAAGAAUUCAAUGAAUGCUAUAAGUGUCCCUAGUUAGGGCAUUUUCAGUACGAGUCUUCAACUUUUGAUGAAAAAAUAAAUUAUGCUGAUAUUUUCAUCACAAAUAUAAAGACCCCACAUUCAACUAAAGUUCAGAUAUCCUCAAUCUUUAACUACACUACAACAUGUAUAUACACAUAAAUACAUGUUUAUAUGUAAAUUUAUGCUAUACUCUCUCAUUCAAGUAUUUUCUCAAACAUUUGGUGCACAUAAACCAAACUAAAAAUACAAACCCUAUACCCUAAAUUUAAUUAAUAUCUCAAAUUCAUGGAAUUCAAAACCUAAUCAAAACCCUUGUUCAAAAUAUAAUCACGAAAAUAAUCCAAAGCAAGAAAAUGAGAGAUGAGAGAGAUUAUUCCAUAAUUUCAAAUUGCUAUGUUUCCAUAUGCUCCACACAAUCACAUCCCAUAAUGUCGCUUGCUGCAUAUCUAGUUUAUGUAAAAGCAAGAAAACUGCAUCUGCUGCCGUCGUAGUUGUGAGACUUACUUCUUCAAUAUUGCGCCACAAACUUGAACAGAUGUAGGACAUGAAAAAAGAAUAUACAGCCUGUCUUCAUAAUUAUCAUUACAAGACACACAAUUUGAAGGACAAUGAAUACCUUUCUCGCAAAGUCUAGCUCGCGUCGGACAACAACCGCGACAAAUGCGCCAAAUAAGGUUCUUAACCUUUGGAGGGACUUUGAGUCUCCAAAUUCCGGACCAAAACCCAAAACUUUAAUAUGAGACGUGUCGAUUAAUUCUUCCACACACAGAUGAUAAGCACUCUUUACCGAGUGACCAUUUUUCUCCGCUUUCCAAAUCAAUCAAUCCUCAAC
rnacentral:lncRNA from 1 species